CAGAAUGUUCUGUCACAGGUUGGACCUGUGAACAUUUUGGGGGAUAGCCUCUCUAACUUUGUACAUCUUGAGUUUCUUCUGAACUAAUUCUGCUUUGUUCAUAGAGCACAGCACCUUCUCUGAUGAGGGCACACCAUGCUGGGCAGGCCUGUGCCAAUUUCUCCCAUAUUCUACAAUCAAUUCUAAAGUUCUUAAGAGAGACCUUGAGAGUGUCCUUGUAUCACUUUUUCUAACCACCUUGUGAGCACUUGUCCUAGCUUUCCAACCUCAUUAUCAAUGUGUAUGUCCCUGGAAAGUAUUUUGCCAAGAAGCUGCAUGAAGGCUGGAUUAUUUCACUGCCACUGGCCUGCACCUGAAAGUCACUCCCAAGGUCACCCUCCUUUCUCUUAACAUUGCUAUUGGAUACAAUUCCUGGACUUACACUCCUGAACUCUCAGAAUUUCUCUUUCCUGAAGCUUAUAAUGUCAAAGCCUCUAGAUUAAAUUUCUUCAUGUUUAAAAAAAUAAAAUAAGGAUCAAUGGCCAUAUUCAAGGGGUCACUUCUUGGCCUAAAAAAGGGAGAAGGCCCAAGUCCCUCCCUCCACCAUCUUAUAGCAUUGUCUCUUAACAGACACUGUCAACAAAGGAGUCAAACUGAGAGAGAGAAGCUGAAGAGGAUGGUCAAUCAAUGAAUGCCCUUUGAAAUCAGUUUCAGUUUCAGAUCCACAACCACAGCCACUCAGAGACUGAUGGUCAUCAUCAUAGAUGGAACUAGUUAGAGACCACUUGAGGCAGCUUGGUUGUACAGAACAGAGAGUACCAGACCUAGAGUCAGGAAGACUCAUCUUCAUGAGUUCAAAUCUGGCUUCAGACACUUAGUAGCUGUGUGAUCUUGGACAAGCCACUUUAUUUUGUUUGCCCUAGUUUCCUCAACUGCAAAAUGAGCUGGAGAAGGAAAUUGGAAACUACUGCAGGAUCUUUGCCAAAAAAUAACCAAAUGGUGUCAUGAAGAGUUGGACACAACUGAAAAAUGACCGAACAACAACAAUAAAAUAGAUGCAUUCUCUAGUAUCUCUUCAAUGCACUUCCAUUAGAUAUCAUCAUGACUUUCCUGGAAUCAGAUUUUCAUCCACUUCUUCAUGGGGAGAUGCUAUCAGAGAUAAAAUGCAUGUGCCGAUCCCUUUUACUCUCACAUAACUCUACUUCCAAAGAAUUUUCUGUGCUGGAGAACUGAUUUAUUUUCAUACAUAUUUGACCUGAAGUCCAAGCUGAAUUGGUAAUGAUCUCUUUGGCAGAAUAUGGAGAUGUAAGGAAUGUAGGAUUAUUUCAAGCUUCACAGCAUGGGACAUUAAGUACAAAUAGAAACGAGCUAAGAAGAAGGAGUGAUUAAGCCAAACAAGAACUGACCUAAACUUUGGACUCAAUGGAAGAACUGACUCAAACUAUUUUGGUGCUUUGAAAAUAAAUCUAUUACCUUCUUUUUCCAUUUCUUCUGGCAAAAAAGUCAAAUGGUUGUCAUUAUCAGUGUCUGUUGAUUUUUAUUGAGAUUCCAAAAUGUGUUAGAUCCUUUCCUGAAGCAGUUGGAGACAUUGCUUUAAGGAACUUUACAUUCUCCACUUUUUUAUUAUUUUAACUAUUGUUUUUGGCAUUGACAACCUAGAUGGAUCUUUAUAAUUUGCAAAGUGAUUGUAUGCCUAUUCUAUGUACUGUAGUACUUUGUAGUAUAUGGUACUUUGGAAAGGGUCAGAAAAAGGAUAAAGAACUUUGGAUUUGGAGUCAGGAAACCAAAAUUCAAGUCUCCUGUCUACCAUUAUGUGUGAUUGUGAACAAAUCAUUUAGCCUCUCCUAACUCCGGUUCCUGUGUCUCUAAAAUGGGGAUAAUAUCCACUCAACUACCUCAUGGGUAGCUAAGAUCAGAUGACUACCUGCGUGAGCAUGUAUUGGAAAUAAUAAAUCCUCACUGUGAAAUAUUA